ensembl:lncRNA
GGUGUGUGCCUGUAGUCCCAGCUACUCAGGGGGCUGAGGCAGGGGAAUUGCCUGAACUGGGGAGGCAGAGACUGCAGUAAGUCAAGAUUUGCCACUGCACUCCAGUCUAGCAACAGAGCGAGACUCUGUCUAGAAAGAAAGAAAUACUUGAUAGUAUCUAGUGUGAUACUCUGUGUGUUACUUUAGCUUAGGUGAACUUCAUGUGCCAAUCAAGAACGCCUCUCAUGGGGUGGCCAGGCAGGAUUACAUCAGAAAGGCCAGACAUGUCUUUUACAAGCCCUCCUUGUUCAACGACCAUUACUUUGCUAAUUCUUAUGUAAGGUGUAAACAAUGGGUUUUUAUGGAUGAAAUCUGCGUCUUGGUAGUUAGUUUUCUUUGGCAAAAUUAAAGGAAUUCAAGAUGUAUAGAUUAGAGCUUAGGGGUCCUCCUUCCUUCUUGAAUGAAGAGCACCUCAGAAUCCACUCAACCAUGGAUCUGUUCCUUUGGGGGAUAUUUUCUUAGCUUGAGCCUCAGUUAGUCUUACAGCCAUUGGUUAAGAGAUGAGAUAAUGCAGAUGGCAAUGUUUUGAAUCUUGCCGGGAGUUGUUGCUGUGUCUGUGGUAAGCAGAUCUUUUACAGGACAUACUUGCAGCACCUAAACAGAGAGCUGAGAGCUGGGACUCCAGGUUUACAGGACUGCUUGAUGAACUGUUCUGAGCUUGUUUUCAUGUGUGAGAAUUUGGUCAGGGACUUGCUUUUUUUAAUACCUGCUAAAAAGGUGGUAGAGGAAAACUAAUUAUUUGCCCACUCCAAUUUUCCUGAAGCCUACUGUGAUCUACCAAACCAAAGCAAACCAAACAAAACUCCCAAAGUUGGCCAUGACCAAAUUAAAAUAAAAUAGUUUGCAGUAAUGUUAUUUUUCAGAGGGUCAUUAAUCAUACACAUGUAAUGGAGAAUUUGCCUACGUGGAUUCUCAACAUUUUUUUACCCCAGAGAUAGCAUGAGGGAAAAGGCUACCAUGGAAGAGGAUUGAGGAAGAGGAUUUCUUCUUCCAAAGAAGUUUAGGAAGAGGAAACGAAAGGCAAGUACAAGAAGACAACUCGGGGUGAAGGUCCUGGUGAGGCUUUCAGAGUGUAGAUGAAGAUCUGACCGAAAACACUGGCGAGGAGUCCAGAGGGAUGGGUUCCUUGUCUCUGGAGGGAAAGAAUGAAAACAUUGGAAAGACACACACUCGUCCCCUAUAGAAGAGCUCGAGAAAGAAAGUGAUAGCUUCAGUCAGGUGUAGUGGCCCAUGCCUGUAAUCCCAGCACUUUGAGAGGCCGAGGUGGGUGGCUCACUUGAGGUCAGGAGUUCGAGACCAGCCUGGUCAACAUGGUGAAACCCCAUCUCUACUAAAACUAUAAACAUUAGCUGGGCGUGGUGGCAGGCGCCUAUAAUCCCAGCUACUUGGGAGGCUGAGGCAAGAGAAUCACUUGAAGGUUGAAACAGGUGGAGGUUUCAAUGAGCUGAGACUGUGCCAUUGCACUCCAGCCUGGGUAACAGGAGCAAAAUUCCAUGUCAAAAAAAAAAAAAAAAA